rnacentral:rRNA from 1 species
UGAGGAAUAUUGCGCAAUGGGGGAAACCCUGACGCAGCGAUGCCGCGUGGGUGAUGAAGUCUUUCGGGAUGUAAAGCCCUGUCGGGAGAGACGAUUAUGACGGUAUCUCCAAAGGAAGCCCCGGCUAACUACGUGCCAGCAGCCGCGGUAAUACGUAGGGGGCGAGCGUUAUCCGGAUUUACUGGGCAUAAAGGGCUCGUAGGCGGUUAUUUAAGUCAGUUAUUAAAUCUUACAGCUCAACUGUAUGUUGUAACUGAAACUGGAUAACUAGAGAUCAGUAGAGGAAAGCGGAACUCACGGUGUAGCGGUGAAAUGCGUAGAUAUCGUGAGGAACACCAGUUGCGAAGGCGGCUUUCUGGCCUGAUUCUGACGCUGAGGAGCGAAAGCGUGGGGAGCGAACGGG